GGUAAAAUGGCUGAGUUUAGGCAAUAAAUUGUAAAUUUAUGAACGAAUAUUAAUUCUUUUACCA
rnacentral:tRNA from 1 species